rnacentral:rRNA from 1 species
UACGUAGGGUGCAAGCGUUGUCCGGAAUUAUUGGGCGUAAAGAGCUCGUAGGCGGCCUGUCGCGUCGGAUGUGAAAAUCCAAGGCUCAACCUUGGACCUGCAUUCGAUACGGGCAGGCUAGAGUUCGGUAGGGGAGACUGGAAUUCCUGGUGUAGCGGUGAAAUGCGCAGAUAUCAGGAGGAACACCGGUGGCGAAGGCGGGUCUCUGGGCCUUACCUGACGCUGAGGAGCGAAAGCGUGGGGAGCGAACAGG